GUGAGGAAUAUUGCGCAAUGGAGGCAACUCUGACGCAGCCAUGCCGCGUGCAGGAAGAAGGCGCUACGCGUUGUAAACUGCUUUUAACCGGGAAGAAACCCCAGGACGUGUCCUGGGUUGACGGUACCGGAGGAAUAAGCACCGGCUAACUUCGUGCCAGCAGCCGCGGUAAUACGAAGGGUGCAAGCGUUAUCCGGAUUCAUUGGGUUUAAAGGGUGCGUAGGCGGAGCGUUAAGUCAGUGGUGAAAUCCUGCAGCGUAACUGUAGACUUGCCAUUGAUACUGGCGCUCUUGAGUGCGCUUGAAGUGGGCGGAAGGUGCCGUGUAGCGGUGAAAUGCUUAGAUAUGGCACAGAACACCAAUUGCGAAGGCAGCUCACUAAGGCGAUACUGACGCUGAGGCACGAAAGCGUGGGGAUCGAACAGGAUUAGAAACCCCUGUAGUCC
rnacentral:rRNA from 1 species